rnacentral:lncRNA from 1 species
AACCACUGCUGCAGCCACCCCAACCCCUAUUCCUUUUCCCCUAUAGGAAAAAACUAAGAAACUCAAGAGGAGUCAUCAGAAUUCCUGCCAUGUGGGAGUCAUCAACCCAACGGGUGACUUUUUUUCUGCUCCACAUAUAAGAUGGCUACAGAACACUGUCAGGAAUCAGGGAUCACAGCAUGCCUGGAUUUCAGUCUCACGUGCCCUCUCUGCUGGGAGCCUUUGUGCAGUGCACAAACUGCACGCGUGUAUGUAGUAGCCCUGCUAAUAAG